GGGAAGAGCACUGUAUGCUGCAGAAGCCGACAGAAUUCGGAACUGGGCAGAGAGCCGAGCACGCUUCUCUUUCACCGAUGCUAUGGAGAUGUACACAGAGAAUACUUGGGUGUCUGUAUUUUCGCUGUCCGUCGUAUGCGCCUUCAUAAUACUCUCGAGCUCAGCAGGCGCUUUCCCAGGCACAUCCUUCUAAACAAGGUGUUUCGGAUCAACCAAAUCAUCAUCAUCUACAAAGUUUAGCCAUGGAUACCCUUUAAAUAGAGAGGAAGUUUAUCAACAGCAGCAGCCUCGCCAUGGACCUGACCAUUAAUUUUACGAUGAAAAUCAUCUGGGCCAGAAUUUAAA
rnacentral:misc_RNA from 1 species